AAACGCUCGACUCCAUCGUGCUGUGCAGGACCUGCAAGCCGCUCCCCACAAUCGCUGCGUCGCGCCGCCCGCCGGAAUGCCCUGCGCGAGCCUUCCCAGAGUCGUCAUCCGUCACCAGCGCAGCGGCUUCCGCCCUGCACAACACGAUGACCGGUCAUCGUCUUUGGCGACGCGAGGACCUUGUCGGCAAGGACGCCGCCGCCGCCCACUACGAUGCAGUGUGAAGUAUGAUGCAGUCGUCCUCGGUGCUUGUUCAACAACCUGAAGGAACCGCCGCCUACAAGGUAGCACCCGCGCCCGAAAACUGCCGCUGAGGUUGAUCGACAUCCUCCCAGAUCGGGGGGAGCCCGCACCACGACGACGGGUUCGGCCGUCCAUGCCGGAGCCGAUCCAGCGCGUCGACGUUGGUCCGGACGGAUUCAGUCCACCUUCUCGCCACCGUUACCGGCACCUACUGUCUAGGAUGUGCGGGUGCUCCAUCAGCAACGAAACUCAAGUCCCUCCAACUCUCAGAUUUGGUAUUCUCUACCUUAGUCCCCUUUGUUGCUUUGUCGAUGAAACUUAAUGAUUCAUGAAUCCCAGCUUUUUUUUGUGCUAAGAUUCAUUUUCUAGGAUUUCCAUGAACAGUUUGUUCACUACUUGUAGCUAAAGUAUAGUACAAUACCUUCAGAUGUUGUUGAAAGUGCAUUACACGGUCCUGUAAGCCAUCACUUUACCCAAUCACUCAAUGUUUCCUUUCCAGGAUAGAUUGAUAUUGUUCGUUGCAAUCUUGAUUUGAGGUCAGCUUACAGCUAUUACUUGCAAGUAUAAUUCUUCCUAAUACAAAGCUGUAUAACGCUAAUCUGAGAAGUAUUUUUUUUGUAGCCCCCAGGAGCAAAAUCGGUUUGCACUAUCUCAGUUAUUUCAUCCCAUAAUAAUAAGCUCACGACUAUCACCAUGGACUGGAUACAAUGGUUUUGGUGAGCAUGGAACACAACUAUCCGGCUCACAGCAAGAUAAUUUUUAAGAACCCGACUAUACUGCUUUCUGAUGAAGCUACAAGUGCACUUGAUGCGGAGUCUAAACGUGUAGUUAAAGAUGCACUAAAUAAUAUCAUGGUGUACAGAGCCACCAGACUUGUGGCGCAUCGCCUGAGCAGUGUCAAAAAUUCUAACACAAUAUCGGUGCUACAUUGUGGACAGCUUGUGGAACAAAGUAACCUGGAUUUCUUCAUCACUUUUCAGCCAGCCUUACUGCAAUGAUCCAGCAAGGGUGAAAUUUCACGUUUCCCUGACAAGAAUAAAAAAAAGCUAUAAUGGGUGUUUGCACAACAAGACCACAGGCUGAGUUGGUAAAGAACUUCAAAGGAGUAUACUCUCAACUUCUACGGCAUUCUACAUUCUAUUGCUGUUAUGCUACAUACUCAGUUAUUAAAAUGAUCCAUGUGAUAGCAAUUUUGAGGGCUUAUAUGAAUUCAUGUAUGCAUGUUCAAGAUAUUUAUAAUUAUUUUUAGGAAUAACUAGGCACUUACAUAUUCCACAAGUCCUUUACAUGAUUUGUGAUAUUUGUAUGCCUUUAAAAUAAUUUCCAUUUUUCGUGUAUUCUUGAUUCUCAAGCAUUGUUCCAAGGUAUAUUGUCUAUUAUUCUUUUCACGCCCACUGUAUCAUUGUGUAGUUAUUUCCAGAUUGUAUUAUUGUGUAGUUAUUUCCAGAUUGAUUCCUAUUCAUGGUAAAAUUUAUAUCAGUUUUGUUGGUGUGAAAAAUGAAUAUGUAAUACAGAAAAGUUUUGUUGUACGUUUUGUUCCUUUUCCCAGUUUUGGUUGUCGACAAGUUUUUUUUCAGUGUUUGUCUGAAUAAUACAUAUAAACGGACAAGUUUGCUUGUAAUUACUGUUCUUGAUGUUAAGGUCGAUCUAUAAAUAAAUCUCUUGUGAAUUUGUUCUCGAUGUACUUGAUGCUGCAUCUGCAGGUAAUCAAUCAUGCUAUACUGAUCUCAUAUUUAAUUUUUUAAUUCAUGUUGUUUCGUGCACAUAAUGUUUACUUCUUUUUUGAUAUGUCCGUGUAUCAUCGGCAGAGGGUUCUGAUGAUAAACAUCUUAUCCAAACUUCACUGGCAGUGUGUUUGAAUUUUACAUGCUUCACAUUGGUGAAAUCAUACGUGGGGAGUUGGCCAGCAUGAAGUUACCACAGGCUUAUGGUGUUCUGGUCUAUCACCAAUUUAGGCUGUCAAUGUCUAAUCCAAUGGGCACAGUAUUGAGCGAAGUGAUAGAUUAUGUUCACCGCAGUACGAGCCGGUGAGCCGUGCGACCCCCGGUCUAGGACAACAUACUUUUCUUUUUGGAGCAUGUGUAUGUUCAUCGGUCUUUUGUCUUGUCCGACUGAUUUUUCCAUUAUGCGUUGUUCAACAGGUUAGGAAAAGUUCCCUCAGGAAUCUAUACUACAAGGAUACAUAUUUAGUUGCCGUUGUAAAUUAGACUAGGGUGUUUGAAGUUAGCAUUAUUCUUACAUAGUUCUCCUGAUGCAAUUAUAUAGCUCUGUAGGUUCUCACAUUUAGAUAUAUUGCCUUGCAAUGUGCUCAAGAGUGUAGCAGAUUAAUUUCAUUUCGUAGAUGAAAAGUUGAUAAGUACAUGAAAGAAUACAGGCAAAGAUGUUUUUAUUUUACUUCCA